rnacentral:lncRNA from 1 species
AGAGGGUUCUAUCAUUUCGUCGGAUGGAAAGGAGUGUAUUCUGAAGAUUGGUAAGGUUGUGAUGGCGUCCAGUCAGUAGCUGGGACCGUGGAGAUCAGAACCUGGUGGUGGAAGGGGAGUGUGGGGAGUAAAGGCAGUAGUUUAGGAUCUUGUGAAGUGGCAGUAUCAGGGUCUCAAGGACAAAUCAGAUGCCCAACUAAUCAGAGCAGAGAGAAAUGGGGGAAAGCCUUCUUGUAUCGAGCCAGCCUCUUUGGCUGGUCACUUGGGGUGCCCCCAGGGAGGGAAGAUCUGUCAACCCCUGACCUGCCUCCCAGGCUUAUUCAGUCUGCCUGUCCUGUCCUUUUCCUCCAUAGAUGUGAGAAAUUCACAGCCCAUAAAUUCUGUGGCUGGGAGCAGCCACCGUGGCAGGCGGGUACCUGGCAGGGUGCACAGGCUGCUCCAUUCCCCCCUGGCACAUGCACCUGGUCAAUCCUCUUUUCCUGCUUUGGUCACCUGAGAAUCACAGAGGUCACAUCUCAGCACCAUCCAAAGCCACCCCUGGCAGGCUCAGGGCUCUGGAGCAAGCCCAGCCACCUUGGUUGUGGAGCGGGAAUCUCUAGCAAAGAUGCCUACUGUUUCACCAGUGCAGUGGAAGAGGAGAAAAUGGGCACUUGGCCACUGUCCCGUCAGUUGGGUCAGCAGCCCAAAAUAGUUCUUAUUUCCUUCCCCAUGUUCAAAAUAGAAAUUUCAGGGGGUGUGUACAGGUCUGGGUUUUUUUUUUUUUUUUCCAUAAAUUUUAUAACAUACCUACUAUGUGCUGGAUAACUGCAUAUUUGUUACUUGAUUCUAACUCAGACUUUUGGCCAAUUUCUCUUUCUCGAUUUGGUCUCCUUCCAAUGCUAUGUUCUCCCGACCUCUGAGCUGUUGAGGAGAUCUUCAAAUAAUCUCCUUCUCUUCCUACAAUCUCCACUCUCCCAGGACUGCCCUCUUUGUGAGGCUUCUGGAACUUCACACAUCUGGCCUCAAUUUCACCAGUGCAAGCAUAUCUGCACGCCUCUCCAAUCUUAUCCUCCCAGGUCCCCUUCUUAACGCCAGUGGGUCUGGUCUCCUCUUUCUAGCAAAUAUCUUUUUCUCUCUGUUGCUGGUUGAGCCCUCCCAACAGACAUGUAUCUGGCAGAGUUGGGACAUUGAGUGUGGGGGUUGGGGGGAACAUGUGACAUCUUUGGAAUCUGACGGUCCCAGAGUGGAUUUUUGGAAAUCUAGUGUUGGGUGGUUUUAGUGGGCUGAGACAGAAUUGAAAGGGAAUGUCUUGGUUGGGGUUAUUUGCACAUUUCUUCUCUGCUGGGGCAGAGCAAAUUAAGCUUUGAUUAUCUGAUAGAUUAACUGUAAAGCUACUGCUCUUUAUAAAUUUAACACCUUUUGUUACUUCUGAGUUUUCUUCUAAGCCACUGGACCCAUCCGUAAAAAAAAAAAAAAAAACUGCGUUCCCCCUUACGUGAAACUCAUUGGCUAAAAUCCAAGCUUUCCAACAGGAUACAAAAUUCAGAUCUGCUGUUUCUCAAAAUUAAGUACACCCUUGUUAGCAUGACACUUAAAUUUGAUCAUGCAGUCUCUCUGAUUAAAGCCUUCCACUGUUUAUUUACUGUCUGCAAUAUUAAAUCCAAACCUUCUAGCGUAAACAUAUCUGACAUGUAAACUCACCAAAACUAUUCUCUGGUUAAAAUGUAAGGGCCUUAAUAUAAUAUAAAAUUCUUAUUUUGUCAUUCCUCAAGGUAGAGAUCACAUUUUUUUAAAGCACAGUAUACAAAUCAGCAUGGUAUAGGAAUUAUAAGAAUCAUCAUCAUCAUCAUCAUGAUGUACAUAGCACAUUGCAGAAAUUAACUCAUUUCCUCUCCAUAAAAGUCCUCUGAGAUAUGCAUUAUUACUGUAAAAUUCCAAACCUCUAAUAUAAAAUUCUAAUUGAAAUACAAAUAAAUAAUUCUAAUUGAAAUACAAAAACUAAGUAAUUCAUCUGCAGACUUAUCUAUCAGGAAUAAAAAUCUCAGCAUGUCUCUCACUUAAAACUCUUUAUUGGUGAAAAUUUAAAUUUCUUAGCAAGACGAUUUAAAAACUAGAUUAUGCCCCCUCUUAAUAUAAAGUCUACACUGCUUAACAUAUUUACAAAUUCGACCAUGUGAAUGAUUAAAUCCUUCAAUGUUCCUGCCUUCAGCUCAAAAUCUAAUAUCCUCGGCAUGUUAGAAAAAUCUUAAUACUUCUUAACAUCAAAGUUUAAACUGUUAGCAAGAUGAAUAAAGGUCAUCUCAUAAUUUCUCUAUUUAACACAUAUAAAAAUUCAUUUUUAUUGCCUGUAAAGUUUCAACCACUUAGCAUAAAAUGAAAAUUUUCACCGUGUAAUUUACUUGCCAACUGAUUAAUACGAACCCCCAAAUCUCAUCAGGUCACUCCUAAAACCCUUUAUUGGCUUAAUUCCAAACCUCUUCGCAUGAUAUAAAAUUCUGACCAUGUCAUUCCUCAAAAUAAAAAGGUCACUCUCCCUUGCAAGAUACACGAAUUUGCUCUUAUAACUUCUGCUUAAAGCUUUAUUCUAUCUCUUAAUUACCUAUGAGAUAAGGUCUAAUUAUUUUUAGCAUAGAACAAUACAUUUUACUAUAAAAUUUCUCUGACUACUCUACCCAAGACAAAAUUUCUGCCAUGUUACUGCCUUAAAAAUCUCUUAAUGAGCCAGGCACGGUGACUCACAGCUGUAAUCCCAGCACUUUGGGAGGCCAAGGCAGGUGGAACACUUGAGGUCAAGGGUUCUAGGUCAGCCUGGCCAACAUGGUGAAAUCCUGUUUCUACUAAAAAUACAAAAAUUAGCCGGGAGUAGUGGCUCAUGCCCGUAAUCCUAGCUACUUCUCCUAGGCUGAGGCGGGAGAAUCGCUUGAACCUUGGAGGUUGCAGUGAGCCGAGAUUGCGCCGCUGCACUCCAGCUUGGGCAACAGAGGGAGAUUCCCUCUCAAAAAAAAAACAAGACUCUUAAUGGCUGAAGUCCAAAUUCCUUAGCAUGGCAUAAAAAUGUAAUUCUGUCAUCCCUCAAAAUAGUGUCCAAACUUCUUAGCAUGCUAUGUAAAUUUAAUCAUAUAACUUCUUUUUAUAAAAACAUGCUUUGUCUAUAAAUGACCCGUCUCCUCAGCAUGGAGCCCAGCCUGGGUGCCCUUGUGCCCAGGGGAUACCUCUGCUCACGAGUGGUCUGAUGCUUAUUCAUUAUCUGGUUCAGCAAAUCCAGAUACCUUAACUUAAAAUAUGUUUACAAUCCAGUUUCUCUGGAGACAAAACCCUCAUCAAUUUACUUCUUAAAACGCUUUACUGGCUGACAUCCGAACGCCUCUGCAUGAGAUUUCAACAAUGAGCUCAAUGAGCUCAUCCCCCACCCCUUCCAAACACAGCACUUGAAUGCCUUCAACUCUUUUGUAAAAUCACAUCUCCUUAGCAUGUGAGCAAAAUCUGAUCAUAUCAUCUUUAUCAUAGAGAUCCUGUCUUAUAGCUGUGCCAAAAUGCACUUGUUUGAGCAUGUAACUUCUCAACUUAAAACUUCUCGAGGUUUCUUCAUUGCCUGUAACAUAAAGUCCCAACUACUUAACACAAAAUGCGACAUUUUACCAUGUAGUUUCUCUCAGGAUGAUCUAUUAAAAAACCCCAAAUCUCAUCCUGUUCCUGCUGUAAGCCCUUUAUUGGCUUAAAUCCAAAGUUAUUAACAUGAUAUAAAAAUUUGAUCAUGUCAUCCCUUAAAGUCAAAUUCACACUUCCUAGGACAAUAUAUAAAAUUUGAUCUUAUAACUCCUUUUAAAAUCUUACAGUGUCUCUUAGUUGUAAAUGGAAGAAAAGUCAAAAUUCUUAGCAUAAAAUGUGAAUUUUAUUUUGUAAUUCACUGCAUACUAUUUAUCAAACGCAAAAAACUCACCAGGCCACUCUGUUAGAAAGUUUUAUUGGCUAAAUCAAAUUCCUUGGCAUAUGCAACAGUCUAAUCAUGUUGGAGCCUCAAAAUAAAUUCCAAAUUUCUUUUCAUAUUCGCAAUAUUGAUCAUUUAACUCCUCUGAUUAAAAUCUUUCAACUUUGGUGUCAACAUUAAUCACACCUCCUAGGCAAGCUCUGCAGGUUGAAAUUGGCACUCCCCCAAGAUAGAAAUUCAAAAUGUUUGCGCAUGAUUGUUAAAUUGGUGGCUGUUACUUUUACAAUUUCCAGUGUUUCCUUGUUGCUUGUAAUGUGAAUCCCAAAGCCGUUACCCGUAAAAUAUAUUUUAUCAUGUUUUUCUGCAUACUUAUCUCCCACAAACAAGAAUCUCAUCAUCACAUUUCUUAAAACCCUUUGGCAAAAAUCCAAACUCCUUAGCAUGAUAUAAAACUUUGAUCCUGUCAUCCCUCAAAACAAAGUCCAGAUUUCUUCCCAGGAAACUCAAAUUAUGAAACUCUUGCUUAAAAUCUCAACGUGUUUUCAUCACUACAAAAAGCCUCACCAUUUUAGCAAGGCACCCACUUUUAAUCAUGGCACUCCCAGCUUCAAACCUGUCAAAUUUCAUGUCCUCAACAUAAAAUCUAAAUGCCUGAGCAUGAAAUGAAAAUUGGACCAAUUAUUUCUUACAUUAAAAAUCUUUGGAUUGCUCUUCUCUACUUAAACUAUAAAGCUGAAGUUCUUUUCGCAUGAAACUAGAACUUUUCACCACCUACAGUUUCCAGCUUCCAUUUCCUGUUCCUCACGCUUCUCUCUGAAAAGACUGAGUUUCCCAUUCUCCAGCCUCCAAAUGCAUUUCGAUUUUAUUGUCCCCAAAUGUUUCUUUUCUUUUUUUUGUUUAACCACGUCCCUCUGCCCAUAAUUCAUUAAUUCAUACAGCAGCAUGUCCUGAUUCUUUUUCUGGGCCAGGCACGGUGCUCGAUCCCCAAUGGAAGGAAAUGGAGGCAGACCCAUCUUGCAGGUCAUCACCAGGAAGGAGAUGAGACUCAUGUCCUGGAGACGAAUACCCCACUGGAGGUGAGUGAGGGGCCUUGGAAGCAGGGCCAGGGGGUUCCCUCCACACCUGCUGAGCAUCUGCCUCUCUGGGAGGGCUUUGGGCGUUGUUGGGGCCUGUCGGGCCUCCAAAUUCUGGCUUUAGAUGGGCACUCUGGGAUUCCCAUCUGGCUUCACCUGCCUACCAGCUGGCCUGCCAUAGCCUGGGCCCUGCCUCUUCUCUGCGCUUUGCAGAAAUCAUAUUCUCAGUCCUUCAGCUGUGGCUCAAUACAUGUUGUUCUCAAAUCUCAUGACAGUUUCUUUAAGAAAUAUCUACUGAUUUGAAAAUUCCCGCCUUAUUUGAAAAAAAAAAAAAAAAAAAGAAGCCCAGAAUUUAAUGCUGCUGGUUUGGGGUCACAACUGCCUUUGAGGUCUUCGAAUGGGACCCUCUUCCCCCCAACACUCAAGAGACAGACGCCCCAGCCUCACCACCUUCAGUGCCCAGAGCCUCUGUCGGGUCAGCUCCUUGCUUGCCUCUGAGCCAGUGGCCCAUUGGGUCAGGGCUGCCAACGUGUGUCUAUGAAGGGUUGGGUGUGGGGGGGGCCAUGGGGGGGACAAAUCCCUCAGCAAAUACCUCUCUCUGUCAGCUCGCCUGUACAGUAAAGGAAAUCUGAUUUUAAAAAUAGAGCUUGGAAGAGGAGAUGAGAGGAUAUUUAGGAGCAGAGUUGAGCCUGGGGCGGGGGGCCGGGGUGGGGGAAUUAGGGGAGAGGUGAGGACAGGGGAGGAGGGUGGGAGGCUGGGGGCUGAGGAGGAAGGUGAAGCUGGUGAGGAGUGGGGAGGCUGUGAGGAUGGAAAGGGGAGUAAGGGAGAGGUGGGUUCUCUGGAAUGCUGGCCAUGCCUCCUCUCCUGGCCUCCAGAAACUAGCCCAGUCACACCUGGGGCCCCUGGCUCUCUGGGCUGCCAGGAUGGGUGUCAGGUGAAGAUCCCUGUCCAUCUUGGCCUCCUUGUAGGUGGUGCUCAGAGCUCCUUGGGUUUGAGGGACAUAGCUACUGGGUCUUAGGAGGGAAGUGGCCUCAAAAUGAAUACCCCCAGCAGCUCCCUCUGCUGCCUGGCCUGCUGUGGCCUCCUGUGGAUGGAAGGCACAGCGUCACAGUGAGGGUGGACAUGCAGGGACCCUGGGAGGGUUUGUUAUUAUUUAUCGAUUAUUAUUAUUAUUUAUUUUGUUGAACUCGUGUCAAGGUUAAGAUGUGUCCAUGGCAGCUUGAGGCUUGGAAGCCUUCCUGGUUUCCCUGGUAUGAACAAGUGUCAAGGAUGGCUCACUUGAUGGGACUUGGUGAGGAGGCUGGUGAGAUUCCUGGGGGCUUCCUGAGGGCCUCAUAAGGAGUUUGGGUUGGGUCCUGGGGAUCCCAGUGGACUGUGGAGUCUGCAGGGGCUGCUGGCCUGGCAUAGCUUAUGUUGGAGUCCCUCCCCCCGGGACCCUUCAAUCUUGCACACCCCUGACUUGUGGCUAAAGACGACUUGAGCCUUACAGGGUGGGAGGCCGUUGGCAUCUCGGCCCAGGGCAGCCCAGUCUCGGACAUUCCCUCUCUUCCCCUAUGGUCUGGACCGAGGUCCUUGAAUGCCAGGCCCCAUGGGCCUCGGACUUCAUCGUAGUGAUGGGGAAACUGAGUCUUUGGAAGGAGGAACAGGGAGUUACAGUAGAACUACGCUGUCCCCAGGGCGUGUCUAAAUCCCAAACCACCCAGCAGGGUGGGGGUCUUCUGUAGAGGGACCCCCAGCCCCUCACCUUGCUAAGCCACUGAGGUGACAGGGAGUGCCUGGGCCCAGCAGCGCUCCUGCUGCUGUGUCCCUGCCCCCUCUAUGCUUGACUGGCAGCUCCAGGGGGCAGCUGUAUCACUCUGCCCAGAAUAACCCUGGGAAGGGGCGUGUGCCGCCUGCGGGAGGGGCUGUGCGAGGGGUCACGGGUGAGCUUGUCCUUCUUGUCUUGCCCAAAUCAGCGGGGCCAAUCAGCUGCUCCUGAGGCUGAUCUUGCCUUUCAAGGCAAGUGGGCAGGGACAGGUCUGCACCGGCCUCCUAGCCUAGAUGGGCUCUGACUGUCAACAUGACCUUCCUCUCCCAGGUCCUCAGUUUCCCCAUGUCUGCAGGGAGGGUUUCGGUGGUGGUCUUCUCACUGUGCUCCUGUAGCUCUGGGGUUCCUAAGAGGUGCCUGCGGGGGUCCCUGGGAAACAGUAAUGAGAGGAGGUGGCUGGCCCAACAGGUGGAGCUCAGGGACACCCAUUGCUGCCUUAGUUCCACCAGCUGCUCCUAUAAAUUGGGGUCGUCGUAUUAUUUCAUUUAAACAGAGGUUGCCAGAUCUGAGCAAUGGUUGAAAGCACAGACUAUGUGGUCUCUUCUAAUGGCUUGUCUUGAUUUUCCAACCUGGGCUGGGAGGGGUGUAAGAGUGGAACCUGCUCAUCUCUGGUGGGCUCUCUACUCUCACCCAGUGGGCUGCAUGGACAAGCCCAGGUGGCUGCAGGCCUAGGAGUGGAGCUGUUCUUAGAGUAGGAAGGUGAAGACUUUGAGGCAAACAAGGAGGGCCCCACCUCAGGGCCUGGUGGAACUAGAAUGAGGGCAGAAGGCAGAUGAGAGGCUGGCUAACCUUGCAGAACCUCAGUUUCUAAGGGGAUGAUUAGAAAGGUAGGAGCACCUCCUUCCAGGGAAGACGGGUGUGUGAAGCCCUUUGUAAACUGUAAAUGCUAUGGACAAGUCAGGGAUAGCUACCGUCAUUAGGAUUCUUACGACUGUUACUUCCAGAACACCCACUGUAAUUGUAUGGUCAAGAUUUGGACAGCAUUUCAUGCAUGGUGUCAACUUUAAUUUUCCCGUUAACCCCACAAGGGGACGAUGCCCUGCUUGGAGAGUAAGUAAACUAGAGUCCAGAGGGGUGAAGUGGCUCCUCUGGAACCAUAAUUAUCGGCGACAAUGGUGCACAGACCCAGCAUACAGGACCUUCCCCGGGAGGGGCAGGCUGAUGACUGGAGUUGGUGAGGGGUACGUGCGGAAGACGGAAUGUGACCCAGAAAGGGACGACUAGAAUGUAUUUAUUAAAUACAUUCAAAUGAGUCUCUGAGUACCUGCUCUGUGUCAGGCGUGAUUCUAGCCACUCACCCCUAAAACUGACUUUGCUCCUAACGAGUUGGGGGAUGUGCUGCCGUCUUACAGAGUUAAACUGGGAUUCGGAGGGCGAGGUGCUGGCACAAGGCCCCCGAGAGACAGAGGCAGGGUUUAAAGCCAGGUUUCUCCUGGGCAGGAGCAGAUGCCCAGAGUGGGGUUGGCAGUUGCCAUUUGGGAAACUGUUGGGACCUUCAGAGCCAGAGAUGCCAUCUUCAUUCCAUGGUGUUGAUACUGCCAGCCUCGUGGCCUGAGGGGCAUCCAGACCACAAGAGUGGGGGUCUCAGUGUCUGCCUCCAUCUCCCCCAAAGGUGCUUGCUGUCAUUCCCAACUCAUUCUAGCUUAUUUGGUGUUCGAGGAGGGACAGGACAGCUGGCCCAGGACCUGCUAAUUAUAGCUGCUCAAGUAUUUGAAUAGAGGCCUUGAGUACACACCACCAUGUCAUGGUUUUUUCUUACAGACGAAUGAACACUUUAACCCUUGUCCUGAGUGCCAGGCCAUCCCAUUCACUGCCCCACCUCCCCUGCCUGCCCACCCGAUCCCUGGGGGAGGUCGACAUGGGACCUCUGCCCCACAUCUUACCUUGGCUGCAAGCGUUCAAGUGGAUCUCCUCCCGUCCUGUGCCACUCGAUCCUCGCUGCUUGCUAAAAAGUUAUUGAAUACAUUUGUUUCUUUAAUUGUGAAAGUCCAGUCUUUUUGACAUGCGUACAUUUUCUACAGUAGCAACCACAGUGCACACACACAGUCUUCCAGCCUGCUCUGCUCGCGUGCCUUUCUGUUGUGAGCUUUUUUCCACGUGGCUACGUUGGGGACCUCCGUGAUGCUUCCUGAGUGCUUACUAUGCGCCAAGCGCUGCUUUCACCAUUUUACAGGUUUUCACUCUUUCAAUCGUUCUAAGAAGCUGCGAGGGCCUUCCUUUUAUUAUCCCCAUUUUUCAGAAGAGGAAUCCGAGGCCUUGGGACCUACACCCACCCUCACACCCGGGCCCACGCUCACUUUAAUAACCCGGACUGGGCAAGGACUAAGUCCAGCCAGAGCGUCAGCCUCGCUGGCGUCCUCACUGGCCAUGGCCCUGCAGCCUUGCUCUUCAGUUCCUGGAAGCCUCCUGCCCUUGGUGGACAACCAUUUUGCUCUCUAGCAAAUGGAUAGAAAAGUUUAUGUGAGUCUGGCUGGGCGGGGUGGCUCACACCUGUAAUGCAGCUCGUUGGGUGGCUGAGGCAGGCAGAGCAUUUGAGGUCAGGAGUUCAAGACCAGCCUGGCUGACACCGUGAAACCUUGUCUCUACUAAAAAUACAAAAAUUAGCUGGGUGUGGUGGCGUGCGCCUGUAAUCCCAGCUACUUGGGAGGCUGAGGUAGGAGAAUUACUUGAAUCUGAGAGAUGGAGGCUGCAGUGAGCCGAGAUCAUGCCACUGCACUCCAACCUGGGCGACAGAGUGAAACUCCGUCUCAAAAAAAAAAAAAAAAAGAAAAAAAAAGAAAAGAAAAAAACGUGUAUUUGAGUCUGGGCCCCGGCCUCUGUUGGACUUUGAGUAAAUCUUAAUUUAGCACCCUGAGCUGCAACUCCUUUCUCCUGACCCUGCCACCUGCAUGCGCCAUUCAAGUGGCUGCGCCCCAGGCUGCUCAUCCCUUCCGCCCUGGGUCCCCAUACACAGCAACCCCAUGGGGUUUUUGUCCUGCUCCUUCAUAUUAAUCUGCAUUGGUGACUCCUUUGUCCCAUCUUCCCUCAGCACACAGUAGGGCUGCUGGCAGCAGGUGAGGCCUGGGGCAAGGGCUCAGAGAGGCAAGAUGCCAUUUGGCCAUGCCACCGAGUGAGCAGUUUCUCUUCUUGCCCUCCCAGGUGGCGUGAAGGGGAGAUGGCUGCUUUCUCCUGGGAAGGGAGCAGAUGCCUGGCCCAGGACCAAAUCAAAAGGUCUGAAAAAUGAUAUUCAUUGUCCUAAUGUGUAAAUUUCGACAAUUUGCAAAUUUGUAGAUUCUUUAGAAUAGAACUAACUCAAGCCCUUCAUUCUGCAGCUGAGGCUCACUGCCCCCAGUGGGCAGUGGGUCCAGGGGGUUUCUGAGGACAGGGCAUGACCCAGCCCUGCUGCCCCCAAGAUGGCACCUGGCUUGGAGGGGUGAGGGGCCCUGUUAGUCUGACUUUGAAGAAGACCAGCCUUCCAGACUCGCUUGGUGCCCUGACAGGUAUGUGUGCUCUUCUCUCUCCCACCUAACAGCCCCUUUUGGGAGACAGGGUCUGAGAGGAGUCAGGGUCGUAUAACCUUAACACAGUGUGUUAUCCAAAAACCCACUAACCCUGUUACUCUUGUCUGUCUGCUAUGUGAAACCAAGGGCGGUGUUAAAGUUUAUCACCAUGAUAUACAGAUGUGCGUGGGGACAUCUGGGAUGGGGCUCAGGGGUCUACCUGGAGGUCAGAGAGGGCAGGAUCUGCUUAGGGGAGAUGGAUGACUGUGGGGGUCAGACAGGGCAGGGUUUGCUUAGGGGAGAUGGAUGACUGUGGACAUGUGGCUGUAAAUCAUCCUCCCCGUCUUACAUAGGAUGGGGAUGCAACUUUCAAGAGUUGCCUUGAUUGGUACCUUAAAGGAAAUAAAACAUAAAAUGCUUGGCACAUAGUAGAUGCUCAACACAUGUAGAAAAGGCACUUAUUUUAGGUGGAUCUGCCGCCGAAUGGCCCUUUUGCAAGCUCUUCUCAUUUUUUGGAAUCCAAAGGGAAGGUGUGGGGAGCAGGGUCGGGGUGGAGGGGAAGGACGACGUGAGGUUGCAGAGGGCAUUUUCUUGAGGCAAUGGCAUAUCUUUCAUUGGUACUGGCUGGGUUUAUGCGGACUUUGAGAGGAGUGGAGUGUCUCCAAGUGGGGCUACCCCAGCCUGCAGGUUGGAUGCAGGUAACCUCAGUCUGGGCACUGCAUUUUUAUUUACCAUAAAAAUAUUUCAUAUUUGCUGGGUGUGGUGGCUCACGCUUAUAAUCCCAGCACUUUCGGAGGCCGAGGCCGGUGGAUCACCUGAGGCCAGGAGUUUGAGACCAGCCUGGCCAACAUGGUGAAACCCCGUCUCUACAAAAAUACACAAAAUUAGCUGGGCGUGGUGGUGCAUGCCUGUAGUUCCAGCUACUCAGGAGACUGAGGCAUGAGAAUUGCUCGAACCUGGAAGGCAGAAGUUGCAGUUAGCCGAGAUUGCACCAUUGCACUCCAGCCUGGGUGACAGCAAGACUCCGUCUCAAAAAAAAAAAAAAGAAAGAAAAAUUGCAAAACUAUAGCAAUCACCUCAAGGUUUUCACAGGAAUCAAACUCAGUCCAAACUAAAAUGCUGUGUAAUAAAUAGUGGGGCUUCACGUGCAGGAAAGGCGAUUAAGAGCGAGGCAUGCAGGCCGAGGGCUGCUUAACCUGUCUCAGAUUUCUUCCGCACAAAGUCAUGGUUGAAAAUAGGUCUCUGCCUGGCAGAGGGUAAAGAAGUUCUCGAAGGCCUCUGUCUGCAUUAGCUUGGUGAGAGGGAAGACAUUUAACCAAUUAACCAAUUAGUGAUCUGUGCGGAUGGAGACUGAGCAGGACGAGGGUGCCACCCGACUGGGUGUAAAGUGGGCUUAGUUUUGUCUUCUUGGUGUCUGGGAGCCUCAGUGCCUUUCUACGUAGAUGGGAGUAUGCUUGUCACAUCCUUGUCACACAAGUAACCCUGUGCCUGUUUGAGGAUUCCAAGAGCCUGUGACGGCUGCAGGGGGCCCUGAAGCUUAGUGUGCAAGCAGGAGCUGGGGACAGAGGGGCUUCUGACGGGAGUCGGGGUGCCUCCUCUGGAUGUGGGGGUGGGCUAGGGUGGGCAAAGGUUGCUUCCCGUUCUCCUGCAGCUGACAGUUAGAAAUGCCAGUGCCGUUUAGCCACAGUCCCUCUGGGUUAGAGUCGGGAAGAAACAUGGCAGUUGUGUGUUUUGCACAGGAAUCAAGCUGUCAGGGGGCACAGUGAGGCCCCAGCUCCUUACCAGCAAGCCGUCUAGGCUGCGAACGCGAGCCGCCGGGCCGCAGCUCUCUAGAGGUCCCUGUCCCCACCGCCUGGCCCCAUCUCAUGUCACAUUCCCCCAAGGUCUCAUUCCACUCGGCUAAUCUCCAAGAACACCGGCCAGGGCAUUGGCUUUCGGGUCCUUUUAAAGACCAAAAAGUAAAGCACUCCCCCGUGGGUGCUGGACAGCUUGGGAGGGAUUUGGGGCUGUGGGUGGUGAAAUCACAGCCCUGGGCACACACCUGCCAGCCCGAUGUCACUGACAGGCUGCUCGGAGGCUUGGGGCUCCAGUGAGAGCAUAUAGAUAUUUUUUAAAAAACAUAUUCGCGAUAAAAUAAAUCCCCUGUGUCUGCAGAACUUGCUCUGGGCAUGUACCCACUCCCAAUCCAUCAGGAAACAUGCCCUUUGCUUUGUAUUUGUAAAAACAGAAACAAAAACAAAAACAACCCACAGGCGAACAAGCAAAUUAAAUCCCCCCCACACAAAAUGUUUAUUCUAAUUAUGCAAGAAAUGGAUUGAUAAUUAAUACACGCAUUAGUAAAAAUCAAACACUGCAGAUAAAGCCAUCUUUAAUGCUUCCCUCGAUCCCUCCCCAUCACCCCCCAGCAAAUUAACUGCUCUUCUCAGUUUCAGGCGUCUGGUUCCAGAUAUUUUUUUCUGUGCAUUUGCAUAUGUAGAUAAAUAUACCUCUAAAAUCUAUGACUUUGUUUAUUUUUUACAUAAACUAUAUCAUAGUGUACAUUUCCUCUCGCAGCAGCUUGUGUUUCUUCCUUCAAGAGUCUGCUUAGAGAUAAUAAAGAUCAACACUAUUCCUUAUAACAACACCUCAGUAUCCUGCGAGCUGUACACACCAGAGUUUAUUUAACCACCUUGCUGCUGGCAUGAAAGCCUCAGGAGCCCUGGGCUCCCCCAGUGUUGCCUGGGUCUGACUUUGCCUCAGUGAAAACUGCCUCGAAUUCUUUCUUGCACCGAUGGGCAGAUGGGCAGUGUCGGAGGAUCGUGUCAUCUGUCCCGUGGCGCUGGUUGGCUUGGUCAAGUCAGUGUUCAAACUAUCUCCUGCUCUUUCAAGGGGAUCUGGGGCUCUAGAAGAUUAGAGGACUUGGAGAGGUUAGUGACUUGCUCGAGGUCGGCUAGGAAGCAAGACCCAGGAUUCCAACUCAGGUCUGUGUGAUUCCUCUGCAAAAUGGAGAGGUGGAAGGAUGGAUGUCAGGUCUGAUGGAUGGAUGGAUGCCUACAUCAAGAUACAUGCAUAGAUGGAGAGAUGGCUGGCUACCUCAUGAAUGCUGGACUGUUGUGAGAAUCAAACGAGAUAAUGUAUGCUGAGGCAUGCUGUGAACACUACGUGCUGGGUACAGGAGAAUGGAGGCUCCAGAGUGAAAUUAAUGACACUUUGUCGAUGAAGAUCUUGAUUGUGACCUCUGUGGAAAAUGAGCCAUGAACCAACCAAUAAGCAGGCUUAGUCACCCUUGACACAGUUUGCAGUUAUCCACCUCCUCCAAGUUCUUAAUAUGUUAGAUCCAGAUAACUGCCUUGUACAGCCACCUCCAGGAUACUGCCUCCCUAAAAAACAGCUAGAUACACUGACCCCACAGCCUAUGUGGACCACACAGAUAUAGUGGCUUGCUCUAAAUGCACCAGUGAGAACUCUCUGCAGGAAACCUGCUUGGGAAAUGCCAUAGCCUGCAAUACAGGCUUUCCCCUUCCCGCUGGCCCUGUGAGGCAUGCAGGAUCUGUAAGUAAUAAACUGC